rnacentral:rRNA from 1 species
CAGGCCUAACACAUGCAAGUCGAACGGUGCUAGCAAUAGCAUAGUGGCGCACGGGUGCGUAACACGUAACUAACCUACCCAGAACUGGGGGAUAGCCCGCCGAAAGGCGGAUUAAUACCGCAUAACACACUUGACCGGCAUCGGUUGAUUGUUAAAGAUUUAUUGGUUUUGGAUGGGGUUGCGGGUCAUUAGCUAGUUGGUAAGGUAACGGCUUACCAAGGCGACGAUGACUAGGGGAGCUGAGAGGCUGGUCCCCCACACGGGCACUGAGAUACGGGCCCGACUCCUACGGGAGGCAGCAGUAGGGAAUAUUGGGCAAUGGGCGAGAGCCUGACCCAGCCAUGCCGCGUGCAGGAAGAAGGCUUUCUGAGUCGUAAACUGCUUUUGACAGGGAAGAAUAAGCUGCUCGUGAGCAGUGAUGACGGUACCUGCAGAAUAAGCACCGGCUAACUCCGUGCCAGCAGCCGCGGUAAU